CACAAACUAUUGACACAAACACACGCGAACCAAAUCGUCCACACAGGUGCCGAUGAAAGAGAGAAUCUGUUUGUCGCCUUUUGGGGUAUACAAGCACUCUUUUCCAUCGCCUCUGUGCAGGGCGUAACUUCCCAUUGAGAGGAUGUGAGGGCACCACAGGAAGCUUUUCCACAGGAAGUCGCCAUCCUUCUCCCUCCACGACGGCGGCGCUUCACAGGCUUGGCAGUUUUUUUUUUUUUUAUUGCCUUCCAGGGAGGAUGCCGCCAAUGGAGCCACAUAGACAUUUACAUCAUCAUAUGCCCGUUUUUCUUUCUUAACCGCUUGCCACAGUUUCUCCUGUGAGGAGCUUGUGGGAAG
rnacentral:misc_RNA from 1 species